rnacentral:rRNA from 1 species
AGCAGCCGCGGUAAUUCCAGCUCCAAUAGCGUAUAUUAAAGUUGUUGCAGUUAAAAAGCUCGUAGUUGAAUUUCGGGGUCAGUAGGCUGGUCAUGCCACUGGUAUGUACUGGUUUCACUGAUUCCUCCUUCCUGAUGAACCGUAAUGCCAUUAAUUUGGUGUUGGACGGGAACCUGGACUGUUACUUUAGAAAAAAUUAGAGUAGUUUAAAGCAGGCUAACGCUUGAAUACAUUAGCAUGGAAUAAUGAAAUAGGACGAUCGAUCCUAUUUUGUUGGUUUCUAGGAUUGACGUAAUGAUUAAUAGGGAUAGGUUGGGGGCAUUAGUAUUCAAUUGUCAGAGGUGAAAUUCUUGGAUUUAUUGAAGACUAACUACUGCGAAAGCAUUUGCCAAGGAUGUUUUCAUUAAUCAAGAACGAAAGUUAGGGGAUCGAAGACGAUCAGAUACCGUCGUAGUCUUAACCAUAAACUAUGCCGACGUAGGGAUCGGAUGAUGUUAAUUUUUUAAUGA